rnacentral:rRNA from 1 species
GAUGAACGCUAGCUACAGGCUUAACACAUGCAAGUCGAGGGGCAGCAUUAGGUAGCAAUACUGAGAUGGCGACCGGCGCACGGGUGCGUAACGCGUAUCCAACCUUCCCGUUACUCAUGGAUAGCCUUCCGAAAGGGAGAUUAAUACAUGAUGGUGUUGAAAUUCCGCAUGUUAUUUCAACUAAAGAUUUAUCGGUAACGGAUGGGGAUGCGUGACAUUAGAUAGAUGGCGGGGUAACGGCCCACCAUGUUCACGAUGUCUAGGGGUUCUGAGAGGAAGGUCCCCCACACUGGAACUGAGACACGGUCCAGACUCCUACGGGAGGCAGCAGUGAGGAAUAUUGGUCAAUGGCCGGAAGGCUGAACCAGCCAAGUAGCGUGAAGGAUGAAGGUUCUAUGGAUUGUAAACUUCUUUUAUACGGGAAUAAAACCUCCCACGUGUGGGAGCUUGUAUGUACCGUAUGAAUAAGCAUCGGCUAACUCCGUGCCAGCGGCCGCAGUAAAAC